ACUUCCUCCUAUUUGUCACCCCAUUUUUAUAGUUUAAAAGGGGGCACUAAAAGCAACUUUUCAUCCAUCCCAACUUCCUCACAAAAGAACAUAUCAAAAAAUAUAAGAGCCUUUCAACAGAAGGACUCUUUGGGAUGAUAUGUCGCUUCGCAGCUUUCCCAGAUGCUUUUGGCAUCCCAGAUACUUUUGGCAUCCCAUCAUAAAUCAGAUGUUUCCUAAAUUUUAUCAUGUGGUAGGGAACCCUUAUCU
rnacentral:lncRNA from 1 species